AAAUGAUACGCGAUGAUGUCACAAAUGUUGAAAUGAAUGUAUGACAUCAUCUGGCAACGUUAGCAACUUUUAGAGCUACUACUACCUAGUUUCAUUGGAAAAGAGCUAUCAACACUUUGACGACCAUGUACAAAAAGAUGGACAACCGUCUCAACUUCCUCCCACUGUACAGAGUGAAGCCAAAAUAUCCUGGAUAUGGGUGCCGCCAUCUUAUAAUUUUGGAGCCAGAGUCUGCCCAGUUUGCUGUAUAAAGUGAUCAGGAGGUGGAGCCCCUCUAACAAAGUCCUGCCCACACACCUGCCCGACCAAUCACGAGUCAAUCGCAGCUGUCAAUCAUGACAUUUCAUCUUGCUUUGAUGGCAUCAAGA